CCAGGAUGGUCUUGAUCUCCUGACCUCGUGAUCUGCCCACCUCAGCCUUUCAAAGUGGUGAGAUUACAGGCCUGAGCCACCGCACCCAGCCUCCCUAAAACCUUCUAGCUCUGGUGCCCUGUAGGGUCUACUUUGUAGCACCUGGAGCCCAAGAAGCUGCCCCUCACCUUUGUGAUCCCAGGGACCCACUCCCUGAUCAUGAUGAAGGCAGACCCAAACCCGCUGAGGUGCCUGAAGGAGCAGGGUCAGCCUCUGCCUCCCACGGCCUCUCUGAUGGUGAGGAUGUUAUCCCAGCAGUGAGAGCUGGGAGCAGAAUCAGGAGGCUGGGGGGUUUUCUCUGUGGGUAGCUCUGGGCUCCAGGGUGGAGCUCUUUUAACCUAGCCUCUCCCCUGUGAUUCUCCUUGGCCCCAGGCAAAGAAAGCAGCUUGCUGGAAGUCACCUGUCAGGUAGGGACAGAGAGGGAUCUGAGUUCUUUCUCAUCCAGCCACAGCUCCCCCUCCGCCUGGCCCCUUCCCGCAGGUGAUAGAGAACCUGGCAUGCUGUGCCCCGUAGAAGAGUCACCUUUCCUUCUGGUGAUGGAUGGAAACCAGCUUGGGGUGGGAGGGAUGAGGGUUCUGGGGGCUCUCCCAUCCCUGCCUCACAUUUGAAGGAUGGCAUCUGGGUGGCAGCAUGGUUUAGGCUCGACAAGGUGGCCCCUAGGUUUAUAGUCUGGCCUCGGGCAGGAUGCUGCCAUGCCACCUUCUCUUCUGCACAUCCUGACCUGGCAUCCUACUUAGUUAAAUGUCCUCAGGCCUCCUGCACCUUGGGCAUUGCCCCCACUCCCUGCCCAGACACAGCUGUCCUUGUCCUGGACUAAUCUUCAGAGAUUCUUGUUCAGCCCACAGCUUUGCUGGACAUCGCAGUCUGGGCCAGGCCCCCUGCCCAGCACUAACAUCUCUUUGUGAGUCUCAACCAUACUGAGCCGCAGCUUCAGGGUCAGGGUAGGCGCUGACUUAAUUGAUAUGACCCAGGACAAGGGGGUUUAUUGAUGGUGUCACAUCUGCUUAAGCUCUUGGCCUCUAUGAUUUCUUUGGGGGCAAGAUACCCCUCUAUCCCAUGCUUAGGCACCCACAUGUGGCCACAUUGCCUUUCCUACCACCAUCCCUACUGCAGGCCAGUGUCCAGGCACCCGUGGCUCCAGGCAGAAGGUUGAGUGCAGAGCGAGGCUUGGGUGGACAUUCUGCAGGGGCUGCAGGAGCUGACAGCCCUGACCACCCAGGCCAUGGCCAUCCAUUCCCCUUCACUGUGCUGGCCCCUCAUCCACCAUCCUUCCAGGGGCUAGGCCUGGGCCCAAACUGACUUUUGCCUGCCCCUGGUUCCCCUUGUGCCUGCCAGGGUCUUGACUAGGCAUGAUGUUCUUGUCCAUUUCCUUGAUUAUCCUCAAUCAGAGGUUUAUAGAGCCACUUGGGGACAUCACAUCUCCUGUCUACCAGGUCCUCACCAGAGACAGGACUGCCUUGGCCCAGGCCUGGGAUAGUCAGGGGUCACACUCGCCUGUUGGGACCUAGCUUCAGUGGCUUCAAUGUGGGCAAUGGCCUGAUGGGCGGCUGCCCCUUCUCCUCUGCUUUGGGGAGGCAGGAGAGGAAGGUCAGGCAGGAGAUCUGCUUCCUGCCCACCUGAGGCUGGUUGGAAGCAAGGCACCCACCUGUGCCUGUCUCACCUUGCUGCAGGUGCAUUGGAGGCUGAACCCCUCUCCUGAUCUCCUGCAGGUGCAGAUUCCAGGUUUACAGUAGGUGUUGGAGUGGGCUCCAGAGUGGUCCUGGCCCUAGGAAACCCUGGGCUCCAUGAGGCCUUGGCCUAGCCAGAUUGUUUCCCACACUGUCACCUCCCCACACUGUCAUCUCCCCAAACAUGGGGCUGCAUGCUGUGUGCCCUGGGUGGGACAUUGGAAGGAGUUCCACCUUCCAGGUUUGGAUCACAGUAAAGCCUCUGCCAUGGGGAUAUGGUAGCUGAGACAGAUGGGGUUGAACCAGCCCUGUCACAUUGGCCUUGGGCAAGUCACCUGUGCCUUGCUUCCCUUUCCCCAGCAGCUGGACCGGGAUAAUAGCACCUAUUUCACCCAUACUCAGGUGCUCACUUGUUAGCAGGAACUGAGUCCCGGAAGAGGUGCAGGGGGAGCCAUCGAGGCAGCACUGCAGCUGGACCUGGUCUGAGUCCCACCUCCUGGCUGUGAGAUGUGUCUCUCCCUCUGUUUAUUCAUCUGAAGGACAGGGCUGUGCUCUUCUGGGGUCACUGUGACAAUGCAGCUGGCCUGUGUGAGUUGGUGGUGGCCUCCUGAGACGGUUUGAGGUGGACUGGAGGUAUGUCUUGAAUACCCCCUCACCCACUUGAGGAAGACCCACUUUGGGAAGACUCACAUGUCUGUAUGAAGGAAACCAGGUUCCUUGCCCUUCAGCUGUCCUCUAUCCCUUCCCAGCCCCCUCUACUGUCAUGCAGGCUCUGGCGGUGGCCAUCCAGCUUGGUGGCCAUCUGGCUGGUCCACACUUCCAGGUGGACCCUCUCUCCUCACAUGGUGCAUGUCCUAUUGUGCCACCUCCAGACAGACCGUGCUAACCCCAGAGCCUCCCUUUACUAGUACCCAGCCCCCACCACUAGAUAUGUGCCGCCUCCCUAAAGCCCACUGUGUUGACCAGCUGUGUUUGAACUCUGUCUCUGUGCAAGGCCUCAUGCAAAGCCUGAAAUAGCCUGGCUUGUAGAGGGUCAGGAGACCAAAGCUUGAAGACAGAGUGAUGGUCUCCCAGAGUCCACUUAGCCUCAGCCCCAGAGCUGCGUCCAUGCUGGUCCUGGCUCCAGUGAUCCAGUUCUCUCCUGUGACGUCUAAGUACAGAGGAACCUGGUGCUGGCUGCAGUCAACCCCGAUGUGAUGACCUUUCUACCUGCCCUCUUUGAUGUCUUGGUGCUGGCUGCUGUCUUUGGCCAGGGUCUCACUCUGUCGACCAGGCUGGAGUACAGUGGCAUCAUGAUCUCAG